rnacentral:rRNA from 1 species
UACGUAGGUGGCAAGCGUUGUCCGGAAUUAUUGGGCGUAAAGCGCGCGCAGGCGGUUCUUUAAGUCCGAUGUGAAAGCCCACGGCUCAACCGUGGAGGGUCAUUGGAAACUGGGGAACUUGAGUACAGAAGAGGAAAGCGGAAUUCCACGUGUAGCGGUGAAAUGCGUAGAGAUGUGGAGGAACACCGGCGGCGAAGGCGCCGCUCUGGCCGAGGACUGACGCUGAGGCGCGAAAGCGCGGGGAGCGAACGGG